UACAUGCUAAAAACCUCGACUUCGGAAGGGGUGUAUUUAUUAGAUAAAAAACCAAUGCCCUUCGGGGCUCCCUGGUGAUUCAUAAUAACUUAACGAAUCGCAUGGCCUUGUGCCGGCGAUGGUUCAUUCAAAUUUCUGCCCUAUCAACUUUCGAUGGUAGGAUAGUGGCCUACCAUGGUUUCAACGGGUAACGGGGAAUUAGGGUUCUAUUCCGGAGAGGGAGCCUGAGAAACGGCUGCCACAUCCAAGGAAGGCAGCAGGCGCGCAAAUUACCCAAUCCCGACACGGGGAGGUAGUGACAAUAAAUACUGAUACAGGGCUCUUUUGGGUCUUGUAAUUGGAAUGAGUACAAUUUAAAUCCCUUAACGAGGAACAAUUGGAGGGCAAGUCUGGUGCCAGCAGCCGCGGUAAUUCCAGCUCCAAUAGCGUAUAUUAAAGUUGUUGCAGUUAAAAAGCUCGUAGUUGAACCUUGAGCCUGGCUGGCCGGUCCGCCUCACCGCGUGCACUGGUCCGGCCGGGUUUUUCCUUCUGGGGAGCCGCAUGCCCUUCACUGGGUGUGUCGGGGAACCAGGACUUUUACUUUGAAAAAAUUAGAGUGUUCAAAGCAGGCCUAUGCUCGAAUACAUUAGCAUGGAAUAAUAGAAUAGGACGUGUGGUUCUAUUUUGUUGGUUUCUAGGACCGCCGUAAUGAUUAAUAGGGAUAGUCGGGGGCAUCAGUAUUCAAUUGUCAGAGGUGAAAUUCUUGGAUUUAUUGAAGACUAACUACUGCGAAAGCAUUUGCCAAGGAUGUUUUCAUUAAUCAGUGAACGAAAGUUAGGGGAUCGAAGACGAUCAGAUACCGUCGUAGUCUUAACCAUAAACUAUGCCGACUAGGGAUCGGGCGAUGUU
rnacentral:rRNA from 1 species